CUAGUUUCUCACCAUUGCAGACGGCUGAGAAAGAUGAUUUUAUAGAAGUUACUAAUGCUGCAGGAGGAAAUCCGGAGACAAAGAAGACUGAAAAUGAUGUGACUGAUCUGAUAUAUCCUCCUGCGCUCAUUACUGCUGCAUUUGUAGAUGUUCCAUUGGCUGUGUCGGUUCUCUGGUGAUACUCCCUGAAAAAGAAAAUAUCUGUUUACUGAUACCAAAUUAUUACGGAUUGAGGACUGACCAGUAUCAAGACCAGGGGCAAGAGGUGAUGACCCAAUGACGGUUAGGACAGGAUGACCCGCUGAAGGAGAGAAGGUGGAAAACAAUUGCGGCCUACAAUACCAAUGAAUAAGAAAG